GUCCUGGAGCCUAUGAAGACAAUGGUAACUCUCAGGGUGGUUGUGAGGUAACAGGAUACCCAGCCUCUGCGAGGACCGCGGAGCCAUCGAGAGCUCAUCUGCUGCCUGUUUGAGGUGGAGGUCUGAGCUGGAUUUUAUGGGAGCUAGAAUGUGUGUGUCUUACCACAGAAGAAUCUAGGUUCUCUCAUCUCUCCUUAAGCAGGGGCCGCUGACAGUUUCAGCUCGAGUAGGAGUCUCAUCUCCCUCUCGCCUGUGGCUCAUCUAGUGCAGACACCCAGGAGCCUCCCUCACCCCCCUCAGCUCACUCUGAGUGUGUCACUACAGCUCCAGUAAGCUUGGUGCCUGCUUUCCUCUCUCAGCCACAUGGAUCCCUCACCACAGCAGGGCCAGAGACCCAGAAGGAAACAAGAGGACUUCCCCACAGGCCAUCACCCAUUGCAGGUUUGCAGCGUGGGGAAGGGAGGAGACAGUUUAGCAGGAGAGGCCAGUGUUUGGAAUUGCUGGUAAGUUGAGAUGUGAGGGCCUACCAUGCAUGACCAGCAAACACAGUCCAAGCAAGGAUAAGAAUAAAUGGCCCAGGCAAGGCCCAGCUGGACCUAAGGCUCUGGCUUACCACACCAGAGCACUGUGCUCACUCUCUGAGGCCUCUGUGACCUCGGCCACAGAGCUGAUCACCCCUCCCAGAAGUCCAGAUCAGAUCUUAGGCAGGGCCAUGCACCUCUGAAGGCUCUAGGAGAGGGUCCUUCAUGAGCUUGUUGACAUCUGAGCUUGUUGACAUCGGUGUUUCCACGUCCUGAGUGUCCCUUGGCUCCUAUGGCCAUCUCUGUGCUUUCUGCUGUUCCUCACCUCAUAGUAGUCCCCACCCCAUCUGUCUCUCUCCCUCCCCCCUUCUUACAGGACUCCUGUGCUCAGGGAUUAGAGUCCAUUCUACGCCAUCAUGAACUAAUUAUAGCCAAUCUGUGCUGAAUGACCCUGUUUUCAAAUACAAUUGCAUUCCGAAUCAGGGGCCAUACAGAAGUCCACCCCUCCCCAUCAUCCUCUGCAGGGUUGAUUUCUGAGUAAGGUCGUCUUCCUGAGAGGACUGAGAGGAUCCAUCUGUAGAGGAUGAGGAGAGAUGUCCCUUCCAAGGUUUCAGCCCCCAACACUGGCAAUCCAUAGACCCCCCUUCUUAUGCUUUCGCGUGCCAGGGUCACCUGUUCCCACGUGACCUUGCUUCCCAUGGGGACAGCUCCUAACCUGCCAGUCCUCACCUGGGACCUUGCCUGGUUGCUUUGAGUUCCCCUGAAAGAACUCAGUGAUCCUGGUUUAGAGGGUGAGAAGGUAUCUUCAGGUGAACCUGUCAGGAUUGCUGGAUGUGAGAGUUGAAGCCAUGGGUCUGAUAACUUUCAGUUAACAGCGACUCCAGGCAGCUGUUUGGCUAUGAGUGGUCCUAGAAGAAACAUGGCAGCUGCCAGGUGCUGAGACUUUGACUGACACAACACCCAGCAUCGAGCAAAACUCCCGAUGGUGUCGACCACUGCAGCUCCAAACAGAAGACAGAGUGUGAACUUGGAAAUCGGGGCUCUUGCAGGGUACAGAUAGAUGCAGAGAAACACGGAGCCCUGAACCUUCAAAGCUGCCAGCCUGAUACUUCCCUGCUAGGAAGCAGACCAGAAGCAUUGCUCUGGAUUCCCCUCAAAACAAUAACAGACAAGCAAACCCAAACCCCAAACUCAAAGUAAGUUACAUCAGGGAUCGCCUAACAUCGUGUCCAGCCAAACUGUGUUUUAUCAGGUUCUGUGGAAGGGGCUCAAUAGUUCCUGGGUGAAUGUAUAGAACCUCCAAUCUACUUUAGAGUUUCCUCAGAUUACACUGGAGCAGACAGCCUAAGCAGCUGAGGACUGACAGCUUGCCAUGCACGGGGGUGGGGGUGGGGUGGUAACAAAUGCACUUAAACACUGAAAAACCAGGAAAGCGAGACACUUAUGGGAAAGCCCUCACCAUGAUAAUUAGCUAGCAGGAAAGUCCAAUUCAAUACUGCAGUACGUUCAUGGGCUCACUGCAUACCCAUCAUCAGCUUCGGUUGGUGGUCCAGAGAAUACACAUUGAGUGACUUCCCUUCAUUUUGAAGGUGGUAAUA